rnacentral:rRNA from 2 species
UCGAGCGAUGAAACUUUAACAGAACCCUUCGGGGCGAAGAUAGAGCGGAUUAGCGGCGGACGGGUGAGUAACACGUGAGUAACCUGCCUUAGACAUUGGGAUAGCCUCGGGAAACCGGGAUUAAUACCAAAUAAAAUCAUAAUGACACAUGUCAUAACGAUCAAAACUCCGGUGGUCUAAGAUGGACUCGCGUCCCAUUAGCUAGUUGGUAGAGUAAAAGCCUACCAAGGCGACGAUGGGUAGCCGGCCUGAGAGGGUGAACGGCCACAUUGGAACUGAGAAACGGUCCAAACUCCUACGGGAGGCAGCAGUGGGGAAUAUUGCACAAUGGAGGGAACUCUGAUGCAGCGACGCCGCGUGAACGAAGAAGGCUUUCGAGUCGUAAAGUUCUUUUAUAUGGGAAGAUAAUGACGGUACCAUAAGAAAAAGCCCCGGCUAACUACGUGCCAGCAGCCGCGGUAAUACGUAGGGGGCUAGCGUUGUCCGGAAUCACUGGGCGUAAAGGGCUCGCAGGCGGAAAUGCAAGUCAGAUGUAAAAGGAAGUAGCUUAACUACUGUAAGCAUUUGAAACUGCAUAUCUUGAGAAGAGUAGAGGUAAGUGGAAUUUUUAGUGUAGCGGUGAAAUGCGUAGAUAUUAAAAAGAAUACCGGUGGCGAAGGCGACUUACUGGGCUCAUUC